AAUGUAAUUCAUAUAGCAUUAAUGCACCGGAUCACAUUAGAACUCCACAAUUAAGUCAGCUUGGGCUAGAGUAGUAUUGGGAUGGGUGACCUCCCAGGAAGAUCAAUUUUAUAAUAUAU
rnacentral:rRNA from 1 species